GUCAUAUGCUUUUUUUAUGGCUAAGCCAUGCACGUCUUAGAUCGCACAGUGACGUUUCAAAACCAAUCGGUCUGCGAAUGGCUCAUUACGACAGUUGCAAUCCUGCACGACAUUAUGCCACUGCAUUGAAAAAGAACGAGGGUGUACACCAAUGGUCAGGCUUUGUCUUCUUUCCACUUGUUUGAUUGUGAAAGAGACAUUUUCCCUAACCAUAAAAAGGAACAGAAAAUGCUUCCUGAACCCGAAAGGAAUGAUUUGGCAAUGAGGACGAGAAGGUGCGACCGCCUUGGUUUUGUUGGUAUAUUUGGUCAGAGAUAACCCUUCGUUGAGUUGGCAAGAGCGAAAAAUAAAUCUUUGAACCUUUUGAAAUGGGCAGAAGAAAACCUUUGCUUCUAUGAGCGUGUUUGCAGAGUGAACCCUAUAAUUUUAUUGCUAAAAGGUCAAUGGCUUUUAUUGCCAACUCUCUUUCUCGCUGAUUCGGUGUUCUCUAUGGGCAUGUAUGCAAUAAAAGAAAAGGCUGUCUUUUUUGCACUUGAGCAUGUGGAUUGAGGAAGUGGAAUAAUAAAAAAUUGUUCCUGCACCAUAUAAAUGGCAGUGUUGAAUGUGGUGACAACCUUUGAAACAGUUGGCCAAUACAUGUGGAAAACCUCAAAACCCGGGGUUUAGCCAAUCUCCUUUCCCUGCAGAAAAAAGUUCAGGGAUAUGGAGUAAUUCUGUUGGUUCGCAUUUGAUCGAAACAAAGGCUCAUAAAAAUGUCUCAAUGUGUGUUUCCUUCCACCAAACUGGCAUAACACGGAUUUGAAACGGCAUGAAAUGAUGAAUCAGAUCAAAUUUGCAACCGAUACUGCCUCUGUGUCUUUCUCUCGUUUUUGCUCCGCACAUGAGUGGAACAGAGCGUAGCCACAACUCUGUCUCCCAAUGUUGGUACCAAUCUCUUUUCACUCAAGAUAAAAAACUUCUGUAUUUCGUGCACUUUGCCAAAAAGAUGACAUCAUCUUUUUUGGAAAUGGGGUAUAGGUUGCACAAAUAUCUAGAAAAAAGAGGGUGUGAAGAAGAGAUCCAAAAAUUGAUGUUGGAAUGGUAUGAUGUGUGCGUGAGGAUGAGAAAAAUAUGAAAGGUUGAAAAAGAGCGAUAGCAGAAAUUUCAAGUCGUUUGCAUUGGAUUGUCAGCUGAGUCGUAUGGGCAACUGCCCUAUCAGCCAUCGAUUAUGGCGUAGUGAACCAUGAUGGCAUUUACGGGUAACGAGGAAUGAGGGUUCGAUUCCGGAGAGGGAGCCUGAAAAAUGGCUACCACAUCUAAGGAUGGCAGCAGGCGCGCAAAUUGCCCAAUCACAAUGUUCUGGAUGAGGCAGCGACGAAACAUGGCACACUGUGUUGACUCUUUUGUUAACCUGUGUGGAAUGGAUGAGAUCCUAAAUCAUGCAAUGAGCAUCAACUUGAGGACCAGUCUGGUGCCAGCACCCGCGGUAAUUCCAGCUCAAGUGGCGUACACUGAUGUUGUUGCUGUUAAAAAGCUCGUAGUUGACUGCCUUGGAUGGAGCUCUAUAGUUCGUUGCUUUUGAAAUAACACAAUGCUUCGUCCUACCAUCCCGCUUCAAUGUCCUUCGGCAGAUAUUGCGCAUCUUUCAUGGAAACGAAUUCUCUAGCAAAAAACCCAACCAAAAAUGAUGUUUCUGUAUGAUCAGUGUUGGUGUGCCUCACACCUGUGAAACAACAAUGGUUUGGCACUUUCAUCCUGUCAGGAAUUCAUAAACAAAGGAAAGCCAUACACACAUGUGCGCUGCCCUUUUUUAUAGACCACACAACCCCCAUCGUACCAUCUUCCCAACAACCGAUUGCGUACAUGUCUGAAAAAUAGAAUCGUUCUUUCGAGAUACGAUUUGACACCAAGUGAGAUCGUCCGUGAAUCGUUACCGUGACUAAAUCAGAGUACUAUAAGCAGUUGCGAUCUAGAUCAUUCAAAAAUGAUUAUUUACGAUCGUGCAUGGACUGUAUGCUCAAGUGCGACAUGGCAAGGGAUCGUCCAAGUGGCAAUGGUGUAGAAAAACAUGGAAAAUGCAUUAAAACCCAAUGCUAUUCCUAAUCACAUUUCAUCGUUCUGACAGUCUUUGUGAACCACUUCUCAUGGAGAAUUUGGAAUGUUCUAUAAUUCCCUGGAAGAAAGAGCUGUUUCGUUUUUCUGAAAAAACAUAAAAACAAACAUUGCUUAUCUCUCUCUGGGGGGCAUUCCUUGUAAUGACUGAGGCCGUUGUAUGACAUGGGUACUCAAUCGCGAGCGGUGAAAUGCUUAGACCGGAUGAGGACCACCAGAAGCUAACGCGCGUGUCGACUUCGUGCCUGCCAAUCAAGAACGAGAGUGUGGGGAUCGAAGAUGAUCAGAUACCGUCAUAGUCCACUGCUGUAAACGAUGCAAACUGGGAAACGGACAUGCGUUCCUUCUGGAAUGUCUUAUUCGGUUCUUCCCUUCCUCAAUGAACGAGAAAUCCAAGUCUAUGGGUUCAGGGGGGAGUAUCGUCGCAAGGCUGAAACUUAAAGGAAUUGACGGAGUGGCACCACAAGGCGUGGAGUGUGCGGCUUAAUUUGACUCAACACGGGGAACGUUUCCAGAUCAGAUCGUGUUUAUGGAAUGACAGGCUGAAGUACUUUCGUGAAGAUCGCAGAAGUGGUGCAUGGUCGUUUCUGGUUGGUGAAGUGAUUUGUCUGGUUGAUUCCGAUAACGAACGAGGCCUCCGCUACCCAGUAGUCCACUUUCUCGCUGUAGAGAAUGAAAUGCGCUCCAGUUUGAUAUAUAUGAGUUUUGCAGAGAAAAAAGGUAAUCUGCUUCUUUACCCAAAUAGUAAAGGGGCGCGGUUGUCGAUUCGAAAAGGGCCUAUGAAUAGUUUGUGUUUCAAAGGAUUGUUUGAAAAAGAGGAGUUUAUUAAAGGUACGGUAUGACGGUGAAAUGCAGCUCGAGAGUUCUGUGCAAAAGCCAAUGCUUCUCCGUGGGGUUGAGCACUCUUUGUGCGAUCAAGUGUUUUCAUUCAGGAGUCGACAGCAGGUCUGUGAUGCCCUUAGAUGCGCUGGGCUGCACGCGCACGACACUGACGUUAUCCACGAGUGUUUUUUGAAUGAUCAUGGUGCUUUCCACAUGUUGUACCGAAAAUUUGCAUCAGGUCUACUGGACAAGGAAUAAAGUCUGCAUCGCGUUUGUUUUUCUUCACUUCAUUGUGAAAAAAAACUGAUUGAGAAAUGAUAAAAACCGGAGUGCCACACCGGUUCUGAGGUUGGAAUGGGAAAUCCCAUAAAAUUACGUCGUGAUUGGGCUCGGUGAUUGCAACUGUUUACCUUCAAAGAGGAAUGCCUAGUACGAAUAAGUCAUCAGCUUGUGCGGAUUUUGUCUCUGCCAUUUGUACACACCGCCCGUCGUUGCUACCGAUGAUGAAUUGAUAAAGACCAGAAGAGAUCUCAGUAGUUUUUGAGCACGGCAAAAACAAAACAGUUUAGCGUUUAUUGAAAAGAAAUCUGCAUCAUGGUGAAUAAAUCUGUCCAAUAUUCUUCGUUCGAGGAAGCAAAAGUCGUAACAAGGUAGCUGUAGGUGA
rnacentral:rRNA from 1 species